rnacentral:rRNA from 1 species
GCUUGUCUCAAAGAUUAAGCCAUGCAUGUCUAAGUAUAAACAACUUUAUACUGUGAAACUGCAGAUGGCUCAUUAAAUCAGUUAUAAUCUAUUUGAUGAUUACUUACUACAUGGAUAACCGUGGUAAUUCUAGAGCUAAUACAUGCGUAAAGGUAGCCGCAAGGCCGCUGUGUUUAUUAGAUACAACCGCCCUCGCAAGAGGUUUAGGUGAGUCACAAUAACCGAACGAACCGCUAUAUGCGGUGGUUCAUUCUGGAUUCUGCCCUAUCAGCUUUCGAUGGUAGGGUAUUGGCCUACCAUGGCGUUCACGGGUAACGGAGAAUUAGGGUUCGAUUCCGGAGAGGGAGCCUGAGAAAUGGCUACCACAUCCAAGGAAGGCAGCAGG